ACGACGCAGAAAUUGAAAUCACAAGUGAUAAAUGUCUUAUAAGGGGUCAAGCGGCAUUUCUGGGCGAGGACUGCCCCACGGGGAUAUCAAUACGGUCGUUCUCAGAAAAUGGUGUAAAAUGCACCGAUUUUGUUAUUCCACGAGAAGUCCAUGUGGUUGAGGUUGCCACCCCUAGUGUUGCUCACCGUGCCACCAGUCCCCGACAUUCUGACUCCUCCUUCCAGCACAAUCCGAAAAAGCCCCACAAAAAGAAGCAGCGUAAGCAGGCAUCCCUGGAGUAGUAUGUUAACUUAAUUUGCUGUUAACUUAUGUGUUUUAAUUGAACAGCUAUGUGUAAUAUUUUAUUAACGUAUCUCUGUUAACUCUGUAAUAUCUAAUUGUUAAUUUCUUGCGUUAAUUA